rnacentral:sRNA from 1 species
UCUCUCCCAAAGCUGUGUGCUCAAAGAGGACAAAGUUCCUUGAUAGAGGAAGACCUUUAUUCAGUCAAGGGUAUAUGAGUAGCUGUGCUCUGUGAUCCUCUGCUAGAACCUCCCAACAAGCUCUCCAGGUCCAGUAAGCCAUUUGGC